UCGCCACGCAUAGUCGGCGGUGAGCGCCUC
rnacentral:sRNA from 1 species